UACGUAGGGCGCAAGCGUUGUCCGGAAUUAUUGGGCGUAAAGAGCUCGUAGGCGGCCUGUUGCGUCCGCUGUGAAAUCCCGGGGCUCAACCCCGGGCCUGCAGUGGAUACGGGCUGGCUAGAGGCAGGCAGGGGAGAACGGAAUUCCUGGUGUAGCGGUGAAAUGCGCAGAUAUCAGGAGGAACACCAAUGGCGAAGGCAGCUCGCUGGGACGGUACUGACGCUGAGACGCGAAAGCGUGGGGAGCAAACAGG
rnacentral:rRNA from 1 species